UUUUUUAGAAUGCUGCGUGGCUGUUCUGUGCAAUCGUCAAAGGAAAUAGAAAACUUUUAGUUUUUUUAUUAUUUAGGUUAGGGAAUGAAGAAGGAAUAACAUGAAAAAACACUCCUGUAUAAAUUUUGGAUUGGCUUACUUUGAAAUAUCGUUCUGGCAUCGGCAACUGAAGUUAAAUUUGUCGACUAUCGUUCACCUAUAAUUUACAUACAACAUAAAGAAAAUGCCGUUUUCAAAGUCUAUUGCAACCAUACUUGUGGUGGUACAAGCACUAAUUUAUGCCAUUGCUGAUGACAGACAAUUUUGUACUCCAUGUUGUAUUGAGUUGGAACAGUGUAUUGGAAUUAAUUCUACAGGCACUUGUUGCCCUCAAUUCAUAUGUGACCCACACUACGCUCAAGGAAAUGUCGGAAUUUGUAAUCCUGCAAAAGCACCUAAACCACCUAAACCACCUGUCGCACCCGCAUAACCUGCACCACUUGCAUUAUAAAGAUAUAAUAAUAUAAUUAUUCAAUCAUUAAAGAAAAUAAAAACUCACUAAACAAA